GGGCCCGCACAAGCGGUGGAGCAUGUGGUUUAAUUCGAUGCAACGCGAAAAACCUUACCUACCCUUGAAUCCUCGGAAGGCUCUAGAGAUAGAGCUGUGCCUUCGGGAACCGAGUGACAGGUGCUGCAUGGCUGUCGUCAGCUCGUGUCGUGAGAUGUUGGGUUAAGUCCCGUAACGAGCGCAACCCUCGUCCUUAGUUACCAGCAAUUCGGUUGGGGACUCUAAGGAGACUGCCGGUGAUAAACCGGAGGAAGGUGGGGACGAUGUCAAGUCAUCAUGGCCCUUACGGGUAGGGGCUACACACGUGCUACAAUGGCUGGGACAAAAGGGAUGCGAAACGGUAACGUUGAGCC
rnacentral:rRNA from 1 species